GCAUAAAAUUUCUUAUUUUCCCACCCGGAUGAACAGUAACCCGGACCGACAGCCGGUUACUUCAUCCCAGGUUUGAUCCACUUUCCAAACUCCAGAUUUGAUGAAAUUUUUACCUAACAUUCUACACUCAUAGAGGAUUCCAAAGAGGUAACAUGCAUUGCUAUCGGAGGUCGUUUGACCCCCUAAAUAAUUCGCCGAAGUUGGGACUUCGACACAGUUUUUCCGUAGUGCCGGAAAAAUUUGUCAAAAUCCGAUUCUUCCUCUUUUAACCGCCUCUACAACCCUUAUCCGACCCCUCUAGACUAUAUCCACCCUUUGUAUAGCCUAAUGUCAUCAAAAGACUAGAUAGGGACGGAUAUUUACCUUUUUCUUUUUGGAAAUCGAGGUCCUUAUGUAGAGGGGAUGGAGAUCUACGUUUUUUCCCUUCAGCUGGAAGUGCAACCGGGAUCCCUCUCCUCCUCGAAUCCCCUUCCUCUUCUUCUUUCUUCUUCUUCUUCUUCUCUUUUUUUUU
rnacentral:lncRNA from 1 species